GGCACUAUGCUAGGCUCUUUUUACGUAUUUCAUCGAGUUUGGGAUCACAGUGGAUUCUCACUGAGUUUGAGAACGGGAAGCAAAUAGCUUUUUUCCCCCAGGUGACCGACACCCUAGACUUGGGCAGUAUCACAUCCGUGCAGUUGUAACUAGAGGCCCGCUGGGAAUUUUGUCACUAGGAAACCAGUAGAGCAUGCCCCUCUAGCUUCCAGCUCAGGCAAGGACAUUCAAGAGUGUGAGGACCGAAGUAUGUCUCAGCCUCUCAAACCCCCGCUCCUCUUGCGGGAUCCUCGUAACAGCUGAGUCACCGCCAACGUUCUCUACUCUAGCGCCACCUGGUGGCCCUGACGGCUAAUCCAUGGCUGACUUGGCUAGGAAUUGCUGGUUUAUAGCUGCUGAACUAAUGUCACCUAGCUCAGCUUUGUGAGGCCCACCUGUCCUUUCGCGCUGCCAUUGAUCUCCACGUUCUUAUCACUCUUUUUACUACUUCACAGUCUUUGCCAGUUCUCUGCUGCUUCAUCUCACUAAGGCACCUUCAGUAUUAUUUUCAUGGGCUCCCAAAUCAGGGAGAUCUUGCUCCCAUUCUUACAAUUUUGCCAGUGCACCAGCUUUUUCAUUUGAAUAGUUUUCAGUUUUCUAGAGGAUCCUUCUCUCCCUUUCCCUCCGAGGGUUUGGGGCAUGGACAUAUUUCUGAGUGUUUGAUUUCACUCUCUGUGAGCGGUACAACGCUGUAUCCCACCCGAAUUGUCCCUCCCACCGAUACUCAAUCAGCAUCUAUGUCUGGGGACUGAAACUGAGGACAGCAGCUCUGUCCAGUCCCAGGGUGGUUCCGGGCCCACCUGGAAGCCCUCUCUGAGAAUGCAGAUGAGUGACUUUGCCCUGGUUUUGACCAGGAGGCUCAGUCUGGUGUCUGAUUCCAAUCCAUGAAGCUUGACCAAGCACAGUGGGAAAAUCAGCCUUAUGGGCAGUGGAUGUGGAGGCCAAGCUUGAGUGAGAAGGGAGUUUGUCCAGAGUGCCCACUGCAAAUCAGGAGGACAGCCAAGGUUGGAAUGAGAGAGGCAGGGUCAGGCCAAGGAUGUCGGGGAGAGGAGGCCGGAUGAGAUCUGCGAGGAGAUUGUGAAGAAGCCACGGCAAGGAUGUUGAGGCUCUUAUCGGUGACCUGCUGCAUGGCGGGGGUCCAGGUUGGCAAGGUGGAAGUUUGUAGUGCUGGCCCAGAUCCACAGGGCUGGACACCCCCCCCCCCCCAGAUGUCUGGUUACUGUUUCUUCAAGUAGGCCAGUCGAGAUCUCAUAUAAACAGAGCCCCUGAUGAGCCACCCUGGUGAUACAAAGCCCACCGUGGAUGUAGAGCACAGGUAUCUCUGGGGUCUUUGUCACACUGAUGUAAUAGGUUGAUCAAUAGGGCUUUCAUUUAUAUAGCGCUUCAUUCAAAUGUUAAUUUGUUUCUUAAAUCAUUUAUUCAUUUUCACUCAACUGCUCCUGUGCUGGUUCAAUGCUGGGUGAGGGAGAAGACAAGUCAGAUACAAUCUUGGCUAUAGGAACUUACAGUUUGAGGAGAGAAACAUACACGUAGGGCAACCAUCACAUCAUUAUCUCCCAAUAGUUUCCCAGUAACCCCGUGAAGUACCCAGUAAUGCCGGCAUUACUAUGAUCACUUAGCAAAAUCAGCUGACUAUCUGAGACAGUUUUCUCUUCUAUGUAAUGGUACUUUGGGAACAUUAAAGCCAAUGACGUCAGUCAAGUCCUUAGCAUUGUGCCUGGCAUGUAGGAAUUGCCUCAUAAGUGUUAGCUUCACGAUGCUUGUGAUAACUUUGGAGUUGAGAAGAGUAUUAUAAUUGGCCCAGGAUUAUCUACUAAUGAUAGGGAAGGUGUGGGCUCCACACCUGGACCUUCUGAUUCAAAAUUCAGUGUACUUCCCUUUACUCUUUACUAUCUAGUAAGAUGCUGUCUUAGAGACAGACGCAGCAGCUGGGUAGUAAAAUGCUUUUAAUCACUUUUCUACUGCAGAGUUGAUAGCAAAAACUAUGAUUUAGGAGGCACAGAGGCUAAUGACUGUUGGCUGCCCAAAUAUCAGUCGCAGCUGUGGUUCUUCCUAUGGACUGGGCUUGCACCUGAAUCAGAGAUCACAUGAAACAUUUUUUUUUAAAUUAUUUAUUUAUUUUUUGGCUGUGUUGGGUCUUCGUUUCUGUGCGAGGGCUAUCUCUAGUUGUGGCAAGCGGGGGCCACUCUUCAUCGCGGUGCGCGGGCCUCUCACUGUCGCAACCUCUCUUGUUGCGGAGCACAGGCUCCAGACGUGCAGGCUCAGUACUUGUGGCUCACGGGCCCAGUUGCUCCGCGGUAUGUGGGGUCUUCCCAGACCAGGACUCGAACCCGUAUCCCCUGCAUUGGCAGGUAGAUUCUCAACCACUGCGCCACCAGGGAAGCCCCACAUGAAACAUUUUUAGGGAUGAAAGGAAGCUGUCAAUUCAACAUACAGAAGGAGGAGUCUCCUCUGUCCGGGCUAAUUGAAGUGGAUGUCAGUUUGGAUGGGAAAUUCGUCAGAAGAGUGGAGACACAGCCCGCAGAGGUCCUCAUUCAGUAAAUCCCUCUCAAGGUGCAGGAAUCUGUGCCUUUAAGGCUCUGAUGAUGAGCAGGUUUGGGAAGGACUGGGCUAGAUACCUCUUAAGGGUCUCUGUUUCUCCAUGGCCUGGCUGCUCCCAGAAAGGAACGGUCUGUUUGGCUUAAAACAUGGCUGGGAAUGAAAGGCAACUGAACCACAGAGGACGAAAGUCAGCAGGAAGCUAUGAACUCAGAGAAACAACUUGAAUUCUGGCCCUGGGAAGGGCAUUGCCAGUCCAAGCCCUAGGUGGUAGAGGCUGCCUUGACCUGCUCACAGCUGCUGUCCAAAUACCAGUUCUCAGGAAUUCCCUGGAGGUCCAGUAGUUAGGGCUCCGCGCUUUCACUGCUGAGAGCCUGGGUUCAAUCCCUGGUUGGGGAACUAAGAUCCCACAAGCUGUGCAGUGCAGCCAAAAAAAAAAAGACCAGUUCUCAUGAAAAAAUAAGCAAAGACUGUGUUUAUAAUUUUUCUUCUAAGUUCUGUGCUAGGUCUGGGUGGAGCUGAUCUAGGUAACUCUCGUUUGCAAUUCAGCAAGAUCAACCCUGACCCGACACAUUGAGAGACCAGACAUCUCCAGAUUGGUUCAUUUCCGAAAUUCUGCUUCAGGCUCCCUUAUGCACCUGCACUGCCCUUUCAGCCAGAUCUUUUGUCCGGGGGCUCCUGGACUUUGACUGGCUCCUCCACCUGCCCACCUGCUCCAGCCCUGAGAUGGAAAUGGCUGUGCUACCCAUGACACAACUCCUGGAGCACCCAGCUGCCCUUCCAGGACCAGGUCUCAAAUCUGGGACAGAACAAAAUAUCAGCAUGGCUUAAAAAGAUUUACCCCUGCCUGAUUUUCCAGUUCCUACUUCUCUCCAAUACAUCUCCUGGGCUCCAGCUGUACUGAACCACUAAUUUCCCAAAUUCAUUGUUCUGGAUAAUCACAGCUGUGAUUUUCAGCAGAGCCUACUCCAACUUCAGAGGGAGGCUGUAAUGUUUUACUAUUAACCAGCAUUAUCUGACAACCAACUUUUAUUGCCUGCAAAAUCUCCUUUUAUUUAUUUAUUUUGGUUAGUUUUAUUUUAGUAAAGAGAAUCCCUUACUCAAAGAAGAUGUCUUAUGUCACAGAAAUCAAGCAAGGGUCAUUCAUUCAUUGAUAGUGACUGCUUGAGGCCUAAAUGCUCUUCCAGCCUUUCCCCCAAGCCCACAUUCACUGCUGCAAGUGCCCACAGCAGCACUUCUCAAGAGCACCCACUCUCACCCCAGGCUUGGCUUUUUAAACUUUAGGGCACCAAAUCCACAUUAGCAGUGGACCUGAUAUGCCUGAAAUUAAGAUGCAUCCUCAUGUCCAUUGUUCCCUAAGGCAUUAGCAGGUCGAUCCACCAAAGAGCCUGCAGGUCCACAUAUGAAGCUGGCCUGGUGAUGGCUUUCAAGAAAGACUUCAUAAGCUUGAGAAGUAGGCAAGUCAUUCAUGUUACUGUGGUUAAAAUGGCUUUGGGGGCUGCUAACCAGAAGAAGAAAAGUGCCAGAUUUCACAUCUCCUCUGAAUUGAAGUCUACUCAUUCAGCUACUCUGUUCUCCAGUAAUCUCCUUGUGGGAUUUCAACUCCAUGGAACAGGACCUGUGCUAUUGCAUUGCAGUUCACAGAAGUGUUCUGCAAUGUCACCAGAGGAAGGAAGAGAGAUUGUGGCCCAAACUAGAAGGAGCACACGGGGGGCGGUGGCGGGGGACAGCUCCUAGGACAGAACAAUCCAGGUUCAGCUAUAUAAAAGGCUCCAAGAAUCUCAAACUCUUCAACAGUCAGCUAAGAAUGAAAGUAGCAAAACUAAAUUGGGUUCAACUUCAAGGUUAACCAAGUGAAAAGAAAGCACAUACAUUAAGACAAUCUUUUAAGCCAAUUGGCGAGUUUUACAGGGACUAGGCAGUGGUUGGGAAACAUUAUACCAAGGCCAAGGGUGGGGCUGAAGUCAGGCCUCCUGGUGGGUUACUGGGGAAGCCACUUCUCUGACCAGAUGGGAGACCACGAGCUAAAGGUUGGUGGUACUCUGACCACAUAGUCCAAAUCACCUUCUAAGAUAUCCCUGUGUUUCCUUCCGACUUAGUGCGAAAUUAUACCUAGGCAUGGCAACAAACACCAAGAUAUUAGCGCUAGAGCAAACCUCAGAGCUCUGUGACGUGCUUUACUUCCAGAUGGGAUAAGCUAGGCUUAGAGAAGCUGAGAGACUUAACCAAAGCUGUAUAGCUAGUGAGUGGCAAAUCCACGAGACCCCAGGCCACCCGACCUGGUUCAGUGCUUUUUCUAGUACCCAGUCUGAUUCCCAGUGUCUGGCUUCUGGAAAUUCUUGUUUUCCUAUGGCGCCAUGUUUCAUGUGUGCUUUUGUUAUACAUUCUACUUAUAGCUAAUAGUGGAAGUAUUAGCAGCCCCUCUGGUGGUAAGAACUGCCUCACUAGUUUUCAUUUUGCAGGCUGGACACUGACUACAGGAGAUUAAAAUGAGUUUCCCACUUUCUCUUUUGGUAAAACGACAUUCCUAAUGCAAUCUUGCUUCCUGAAGCUGCGUCUGGGGGUGGUAUGCAGCAUUCAGGGUAUUUAUUCAAUGUCAACAAGAAAAUAGUUAUACUCAAAAUCACAGAGUUUACGAACUAGUCCAGGAGCUAAAACUGGUCCAUAUGGAAAAGCAGUGAUUCUGUAAGGCAAGUAGAUUUGUGAGCUAAAAGGAUACGCUCUGUGAAGUUCCUGGAGGGGGAGCCCAGUGAGCCUCGGAAGUGAUCAGGGAAAACUUCAUGUGGAAGAUGGGACAUGUGUCAGUCUUGGGAUAGAUUUAUGAAUGGGGGAAUCCAUUGCCAAGGGAAGGGAACACCAAGAGUGAGGGCAGAGACAAAGGAAUAUGCAGGGCAUCUUCAUGAAGAGUCGGCUGGACUGGGACAGAAGAGGAGAUGGGAUGGCAGGGAAAGAGGCUGGAUGAUAUAUAGUUCCUAGUAACCUGAAAAGAAGAUUAUAAAUGAGCCACCAUAGGAAAUGGGGAGCCACAGAGAUUUUGAGCAAAGAAAUGACAUGACUGUAGCUCUAAAAGGUGAUUGGUUUGUCCUGGUAUGCAGGACAAGUUGGAGGACACAUGGACUAGAAUCAGGAAAACUUGCCAUUACGUCUAUAUUGUAAGAUAUGAGUAUGAAACAUCAAGAACCAGGCUGUACCAGUACACAUGGAAAGGAAGCUACAGGUAUGGUAGACAUUUGAAAGGAAAUACUGAACACAUGCCACCUGCUCAUAUUGGCCUAAGUAGCCUUUGUUCAUUCCUCAAAGUGAUGAAACGCCAAAUAGCUUUGCUUUUGAAAUAUUAUAUCAUGUAAAUGUCUAUAUAUCAAUAUUGAUAGGUUUCUCAUGAUUUACUUCAUUUUCCAAAUAUGUAAUUGCUUCAGAUGGGGUUUAAAAUAUUGGAUGCAUUUUGUAGGGUGGCAUUAGCAGAAUAUUUUAUGGUGUUCAGAUGUCGUCUCAAAACACCUUUGAAAUCUUUCAAGGCUCUGAAUUUCACGGCAGAUGACAUAUUAUUCAGGCUCUUUCAGAUUACAAGAAAGAGUCUUACCUAAAUUAUCUUAAGCGAUGAAGUUUUACUGUUGGAAUUUACAGGGAAGUAAGGAGGCAGGCCAAGUGCUCAGCAGUUCCAUAGCCAUUGUGGGUCCUGCAUAUCGGUCCAGGGCUUUCACAGUGGGAUGCACAGUAGGUCUAGAUUGAAUCCAGGGUAGCAAUAAAGCAGUUUUUUGUUUUGCUUUGUUU